rnacentral:rRNA from 1 species
CAGAGACUGCAAGCGUUAUUCGGAUUCACUGGGCGUAAAGGGUGCGCAGGCGGCCGAGUGUGUGAGGCGUGAAAGCCUGGAGCUUAACUCCAGAAUUGCACCUCAAACUACACGGCUAGAGCAUUGGAGAGGGUAGCAGAAUUCAUGGUGUAGCAGUGAAAUGCGUAGAUAUCAUGAGGAAUACCAGAGGCGAAGGCGGCUACCUGGACAAUUGCUGACGCUCAGGCACGAAAGCGUGGGGAGCAAAAGGGAUUAGAUACCCCUGUAGUCCACGCCCUAAACGGUGCACACUAGGUCUUGGCGGAUUCGACCCCACCAGGGCCCAAGCUAACGCGUUAAGUGUGCCGCCUGAGGACUACGGUCGCAAGACUA